CGGGAAACCGGGGCUAAUACCGGAUGGUUGUCUGAACCGCAUGGUUCAGACAUAAAAGGUGGCUUCGGCUACCACUUACAGAUGGACCCGCGGCGCAUUAGCUAGUUGGUGAGGUAACGGCUCACCAAGGCGACGAUGCGUAGCCGACCUGAGAGGGUGAUCGGCCACACUGGGACUGAGACACGGCCCAGACUCCUACGGGAGGCAGCAGUAGGGAAUCUUCCGCAAUGGACGAAAGUCUGACGGAGCAACGCCGCGUGAGUGAUGAAGGUUUUCGGAUCGUAAAGCUCUGUUGUUAGGGAAGAACAAGUGCCGUUCAAAUAGGGCGGCACCUUGACGGUACCUAACCAGAAAGCCACGGCUAACUACGUGCCAGCAGCCGCGGUAAUACGUAGGUGGCAAGCGUUGUCCGGAAUUAUUGGGCGUAAAGGG
rnacentral:rRNA from 1 species